rnacentral:rRNA from 1 species
GACGAACGCUGGCGGCGUGCUUAACACAUGCCAGUCGAACGGAAGGGCCCUGCUUUUGUGGGGUGCUCGAGUGGCGAACGGGUGAGUAACACGUGAGUAACCUGCCCUUGACUUUGGGAUAACUUCAGGAAACUGGGGCUAAUACCGGAUAGGAGCUCCUGCUGCAUGGUGGGGGUUGGAAAGUUUCGGCGGUUGGGGAUGGACUCGCGGCUUAUCAGCUUGUUGGUGGGGUAGUGGCUUACCAAGGCUUUGACGGGUAGCCGGCCUGAGAGGGUGACCGGCCACAUUGGGACUGAGAUACGGCCCAUACUCCUACGGGAGGCAGCAGUGGGGAAUAUUGCACAAUGGGCGGAAGCCUGAUGCAGCAACGCCGCGUGCGGGAUGACGGCCUUCGGGUUGUAAACCGCUUUCGCCUGUGACGAAGCGUGAGUGACGGUAAUGGGUAAAGAAGCACCGGCUAACUACGUG